AAGAGUGAAACCAGAUCAUAUAAUAUUAUUGAUUUUAUCAAGGUGAAGCUAAAAAAGUUAAAAAAUAAACUAGGAUUAGAUACCCUACUAUAUUUAAUAUUAAUAAAAAAUACCCGACUAUUAACAGUUAUGUACUUUAAAAUCAAAGAAUUUGGCGGUAUUUUAGUCUAAUUAGAGGAACCUGUUUUAUAAUCGAUAAACCUCGAAAUAUCUUACUUAAGUUUGUAUACCGUCAUUAUCAGAUAACAUUGAAAAAUUAAGUUAUUAAAAUUAAAUUUUUUAAUUAAAUUAGAUCAAGGUGCAGCUAAUAAAUAAGAAAAAAUGGGUUACAAUAAUAAUUUUUUAGUACGGACUUAUUUGAAGGUGGAUUUAUUUGUAUUCUCUUUUAAUAAGGAAUUUUGAAUUUAGCUCUAAAAUAAGUACAUAUCGCCCGUCGCUUUC
rnacentral:rRNA from 1 species